AGGACGAACGCUGGCGGCGUGCUUAACACAUGCAAGUCGAGCGGUAAGGCCUUUCGGGGUACACGAGCGGCGAACGGGUGAGUAACACGUGGGUGAUCUGCCCUGCACUUCGGGAUAAGCCUGGGAAACCGGGUCUAAUACCGGAUAUGACCUCAGGUUGCAUGACUUGGGGUGGAAAGAUUUAUCGGUGCAGGAUGGGCCCGCGGCCUAUCAGCUUGUUGGUGGGGUAAUGGCCUACCAAGGCGACGACGGGUAGCCGACCUGAGAGGGUGACCGGCCACACUGGGACUGAGACACGGCCCAGACUCCUACGGGAGGCAGCAGUGGGGAAUAUUGCACAAUGGGCGAAAGCCUGAUGCAGCGACGCGCGUGAGGGAUGACGGCCUUGGGUGUAAACUCUCUCAGCAGGACGAAGCGCAAGUGACGGUACCUGCAGAAGAAGCAACCGGCUAACUACGCGCCAGCAGCAGC
rnacentral:rRNA from 1 species